rnacentral:rRNA from 1 species
AUUGAACGCUGGCGGCAUGCCUUACACAUGCAAGUCGAACGGUAACAGGUCUUCGGAUGCUGACGAGUGGCGAACGGGUGAGUAAUACAUCGGAACGUGCCUAGUAGUGGGGGAUAACUACUCGAAAGAGUGGCUAAUACCGCAUGAGAUCUACGGAUGAAAGCAGGGGAUCGCAAGACCUUGUGCUACUAGAGCGGCCGAUGGCAGAUUAGGUAGUUGGUGGGAUAAAAGCUUACCAAGCCGACGAUCUGUAGCUGGUCUGAGAGGACGAUCAGCCACACUGGGACUGAGACACGGCCCAGACUCCUACGGGAGGCAGCAGUGGGGAAUUUUGGACAAUGGGCGCAAGCCUGAUCCAGCAAUGCGGCGUGCAGGAUGAAGGCCUUCGGGUUGUAAACUGCCUUUGUACGGAACGAAAAGCCCUGGGUUAAUACCCUGGGGUCAUGACGGUACCGUAAGAAUAAGCACCGGCUAACUACGUGCCAGCAGCCGCCGUAACAC